AUUAUAUAUAUAUCAACUUUCAUUAUAUAUAUAUCAAAUCUUUUUUUCCUACCGAGCCCCGGAAGGGACAUGUCCGUAUGGCGAAGCGACAACGAAGGACACUCACCCGGACGAGAAUUUUAUUGAGUUUUAUUUUAAAAUCGGCCUGAAACACACAGACAUUCAAGCAGUGCGAUGCGCUAAGAGUCUGCCAUGCAGACCAGCGAUCCUGAUAAUGUUGUCGGCCUUGGAUGAUGAGGUCCAGUUACCAGGAGCACUAGUCUGCAGCUUACUGGUUCCGUCCUGCAGCUCCUCCACGCUGUCCUCCUCUCUACAGACCAAAUCAAGAAAAGGGAACCAGGAAGCUGCUGUGGAUCCUCUGCAGUAUCUGGAGAGGUCAGAGGAACGGUUCUUGGAACAGAUCGGAAGACACCAAGACGUGACCUCUGCCAUGCUCCAGAACAUCCAGAAGAUGAAUGAAAACCUUGGUUGCACUGAUGGGACGCAUGGUGUCGGUGCUGGAGCAACUGUCCCAGAAUUAAACUGCAUUGUUGACUAUUGGCUUUUCUAGAAAAUAAAUCUUUUUUAGUACUUCA